AUUCUACGGGAGGCAGCAGUGGGGAAUAUUGCACAAUGGGGGAAACCCUGAUGCAGCCAUGCCGCGUGUGUGAAGAAGGCUUUCGGGUUGUAAAGCACUUUCAGCGAGGAGGAAAGGUUGAUGCCUAAUACGUAUCAACUGUGACGUUACUCGCAGAAGAAGCACCGGCUAACUCCGUGCCAGCAGCCGCGGUAAUAAU
rnacentral:rRNA from 1 species